rnacentral:rRNA from 1 species
UGGGGGAUAUUGCACAAUGGGGGGAACCCUGAUGCAGCGACGCCGCGUGAAGGAAGAAGUAUCUCGGUAUGUAAACUUCUAUCAGCAGGGAAGAAAAUGACGGUACCUGACUAAGAAGCCCCGGCUAACUACGUGCCAGCAGCCGCGGUAAUACGUAGGGGGCAAGCGUUAUCCGGAUUUACUGGGUGUAAAGGGAGCGUAGGCGGCAGUGCAAGUCAGAAGUGAAAGCCCGGGGCUCAACUCCGGGACUGCUUUUGAAACUGUACAGCUUGAUUGCAGGAGAGGCAAGUGGAAUUCCUAGUGUAGCGGUGAAAUGCGUAGAUAUUAGGAGGAACACCAGUGGCGAAGGCGGCUUGCUGGACUGUAAAUGACGCUGAGGCUCGAAAGCGUGGGGAGCAAA